rnacentral:rRNA from 1 species
AGGAUGAACGCUGGCGGCGUGCUUAACACAUGCAAGUCGAACGGUGAAGCAGGAGCUUGCUCCUGUGGAUCAGUGGCGAACGGGUGAGUAACACGUGAGAAAUCUGCCCUGGACUCUGGGAUAAGCGUUGGAAACGACGUCUAAUACCGGAUACGAGACGUGAAGGCAUCUUCAACGUCUGGAGAGAACUUCGGUCCAGGAUGAUCUCGCGGCCUAUCAGCUAGUUGGUGAGGUAACGGCCCACCAAGGCGACGACGGGUAGCCGGCCUGAGAGGGUGACCGGCCACACGUGGGACUGAGACACGGCCCAGACUCCUACGGGAGGCAGCAGUGGGGAAUAUUGCACAAUGGGCGCAAGCCUGAUGCAGCAACGCCGCGUGAGGGACCGACGGCCUUCGGUUAGUAAACCCGUUGUUUUAGUAGGGAAGUAAGGACGUAAAGU